rnacentral:rRNA from 1 species
CCUACGGGAGGCAGCAGUGGGGAAUAUUGCACAAUGGGGGAAACCCUGAUGCAGCGACGCCGCGUGAGUGAAGAAGUAUUUCGGUAUGUAAAGCUCUAUCAGCAGGGAAGAAAAUGACGGUACCUGAUUAAGAAGCCCCGGCUAACUACGUGCCAGCAGCCGCGGUACUACGUAGGGGGCAAGCGUUAUCCGGAUUUACUGGGUGUAAAGGGAGCGUAGACGGCAGCACAAGUCUGGAGUGAAAGGCCGGGGCCCAACCCCGGGACUGCUCUGGAAACUAUUGAACUUGAGUGCAGGAGAGGUAAGCGGAAUUCCUAGUGUAGCGGUGAAAUGCGUAGAUAUUAGGAGGAACACCAGUGGCGAAGGCGGCUUACUGGACUGUAACUGACGCUGAGGCACGAAAGCGUGGGUAUCGAACAGGAUUAGAUACCCUUGUAGUC